GGUCUUAUAGUCAAAAAUAUGACGUUAAAUUGCAAAUUUAAAAGUGUAAAAUUUACUAAGGCUU
rnacentral:tRNA from 1 species